UACGGGGGGAGCAAGCGUUGUUCGGAUUUACUGGGCGUAAAGGGCGCGUAGGCGCAAAUCAAGUCAUCUGUGAAAUCUCCGGGCUUAACUCGGAACGGUCAGAUGAUACUGCUUUGCUAGAGUGCGGAAGGGGCAAUCGGAAUUCUCGGUGUAGCGGUGAAAUGCGUAGAUAUCGAGAGGAACACCAGAGGUGAAGACGGGUUGCUGGGCCGACACUGACGCUGAGGCGCGAAAGCCAGGGGAGCAAACGGG
rnacentral:rRNA from 1 species